CCUCAGGUGACAAGGACACUCUUCUUAGGAUCUCGUGAGGUUAUUUGCCUUGAACUUGAAUCAAAUCAUUGCAUAUUGAGGGCCUCACAUUUGAAAGUUUGCCUAGGGCCU